GCAUAUCAAUAAGCGGAGGAAAAGAAACCAACAGGGAUUGCCCUAGUAACGGCGAGUGAAGCGGCAACAGCUCAAAUUUGAAAUCUGGCUCUCGGGCCCGAGUUGUAAUUUGUAGAGGAUACUUUUGAUGCGGUGCCUUCCGAGUUCCCUGGAACGGGACGCCAUAGAGGGUGAGAGCCCCGUCUGGUUGGAUGCCAAAUCUCUGUAAAGUUCCUUCAACGAGUCGAGUAGUUUGGGAAUGCUGCUCUAAAUGGGAGGUAUAUGUCUUCUAAAGCUAAAUACCGGCCAGAGACCGAUAGCGCACAAGUAGAGUGAUCGAAAGAUGAAAAGCACUUUGAAAAGAGAGUUAAAAAGUACGUGAAAUUGUUGAARGGGAAGCGUUUAUGACCAGACUUGGGCUUGGUUAAUCAUCUGGGGUUCUCCCCWGUGCACUUUUCCWGUCCAGGCCAGCAUCAGUUUUCCCCGGGGGAUAAAGGCGGMGGGAAUGUGGCUCUCUUCGGGGAGUGUUAUAGCCCACCGUGUAAUACCCUGGGGGGGACUGAGGUUCKCGCAUCUGCAAGGAUGCUGGCGUAAUGGUCAUCAACGACCCGUCUUGAAACACGGACCAAGGAGUCGUCUUCKUAUGCGAGUGUUCGGGUGUCAAACCCCUACGCGUAAUGAAAGUGAACSCAGGUGAGAGCUUCGGCGCAUCAUCGACCGAUCCUGAUGUUCUCGGAUGGAUUUGAGUAAGAGYAUACGGGGCCGGACCCGAAAGAAGGUGAACUAUGCCUGUAUAGGGUGAAGCCAGAGGAAACUCUGGUGGAGGCUCGCAGCGGUUCUGACGUGCAAAUCGAUCGUCAAAUAUGGGCAUGGGGGCGAAAGACUAAUCGAACCUUCUAGUAGCUGGUUU
rnacentral:rRNA from 1 species